rnacentral:lncRNA from 1 species
UGCUAAUGUGCCCCCAGGGUUGAAAACCAGUAGUGUAAGGCAAGAGCAUCAACAUAGGCCAACCAUCUACAGAUCCCAUCUCACUCUGCUUCCUACCAUCCCUGGGAGUAGAUGGCUAAGGACAAUUGGAGGACAGGUUGUCGAAAAUGAAAAGAAUGGACUUUUCAUCCAUGUGGCUGUGAUCAGUUCCUAAAGCAGAGGAAUCUGCAGCCUAAUGACACAUCAGGAAUUGAUGGAACCCCAGCAGACAGCUUCUAUGAGGUGUGUGGGUGGCGGAUGUGAAAUCAAUAAAAAAAAAAAAAAGAAUAAUUUUUUUUGUUGUUUUUGUUCACUGUCAUGUACAUUAAAGCAUGUAGGCCUCUUCCAGUGUAUAUGUGUAACUUUCACAGUAAAACCUGGAUGAAAAAUCAAUAGAAAUUUAGAAUCUUUCUUCAUAGGAACUGUAUGAUUACUUUGGCAGGAGGAAAAAUAAACAUGUGAAAACAACCUCAAGUCAAUAAAAUGUAUGAUCAGUAACAUAUGAUGAGUAUAUAAGUUAUAGCAUGGGUAAUGUUGAUUCUAGCUAAUUACCUUUGAAAUUGAGGCAGGGCAAAACCAAUUAUGAGCUAGAGUUCAUAAGUAACUCCAAGAACUCCAAGUUGAAAAUCUCAAGGAGAGAGGAUUGCACAUUGGUAGUCCUGUGGAAUAGAGAAGAGAGAAGUCAUUCCAGGCAGAGGAAUGACAGGCAGAGGGGAAUUUUGGGUAACUAGACUGGGCUCAUUCUAAGUGAGCAGCACAUGCAGUUACAAAGACAUCAACACUCUUGUGUCUCCUGCUGCAGAGGUCUUGAUGCUGUGAAUGAUGACUAAUAUAUCUUUGGGUCUCCGAAGUGACUGAUUUAAUUCUAUCAUUUUUGGAGGCAAGGCUUUAUUAUAAGCUACACGAAUAACUUCAAAAAAGGAUUAAAUUAACUGUGCAUUAUUUACUGCAAGUGCAUUUCUCUGGUAUAAAUCUGUCUUAUUUAUGCAUUAGGAUGAGAAAACAGUUUAUUGCCAUUAUAUAUUGUUUAGGGCUGAAGGUUACAAUCUGUCACAAUAUCUCUUCAAAUCCAAAUUCUGGCUAAUUAAUUCUUUUUAUGAUAAAUUUUAUUUU